rnacentral:rRNA from 1 species
GCUUACGGCCAUACCACCCUGAGAACGCCCGAUCUCGUCUGAUCUCGGAAGCUAAGCAGGGACGGGCCUGGUUAGUACUUGGAUGGGAGACCGCCUGGGAAUACCAGGUGCUCUAAGCU